AUGCACAUCACUGAGAAUGAAUGGGUAGAGGAUGUGAAAGCUGGAGUCGCUGCAUGGAGGAUCAGCUGGGAGAUGUACGUUCUUGUUUCCAUCUCCAUGUUUAUGGAUGUGACCUCUGCGCCCCAUCCAGCUGUUCUAGGCACGUUCAAACGGUCCUUCCAGGUUACCGAUGUCAGGGACUCUGAACUAUGGCGGGCCUCAAAACAUCAUCAUUCAAGAUCACGAUCAAGGUCAAGAGAAAGAAAACGAAAAUCGGAUAAUGAAGGAAGAAAACAGAGGAGCCGGAGCAGAAGCAAAGAGCGUGCAAGAAGACAUGAAUCCAAAGAUAAAUCCUCUAAGAAACACAAGUCUGAGGAACACAAUGACAAAGAACAUUCUUCUGAUAAAGGAAGAGAGCGACUAAAUUCAUCUGAAAAUGGUGAGGACAGACACAAAGGUAAAGAAAGAAAGUCAUCAAGAGGCAGAAGUCACUCAAGAUCUAGGUCUCGUGAAAGACGCCAUCGUAGUAGAAGCAGGGAGCGGAAGAAGUCGCGAUCCAGAAGCAGAGAGAGGAAGAAGUCGUGAUCCAGAAGCAGGGAAAAAAAACGAAGGAUCAGGUCUCGUUCCCACUCAAGAUCAAGACACAGGCAUAGGACUAGAAGCAGGAGUAGGACAAGGAGCAGAAGUCGAGACAGAAAGAAGAGAAUUAAAAAAACCAAGAAGAUUUAGAAGAAGUUCAAGCCGGACUCCUAGUCCACCUCCCUUCAGAGGCAGGAAGACAGCAAUGGAUGAGCAAGAAGCUUUAGCUAGGAGGUUGGAAAGGGCAAAGAAAUUACAAGAACAACGAGAGAAGGAAAUGGUUGAAAAAUAAAAACAACAAGAAGUAGCUGCAGCAGCUGCAGCUACUGGAGGUUCUGUUCUGAAUGUUGCUGCCCUGUUGGCAUCAGGGACACAAGUAACACCUCAGAUAGCUGUGGCAGCUCAGAUGGCAGCCCUACAAGCUAAAGCUUUAGCAGAGACCGGAAUAGCUGUACCUAGCUAUUAUAACCCAGCAGCUGUGAAUCCAAUGAAAUUUGCUGAGCAAGAGAAAAAAAGGAAAAUGCUUUGGCAAGGCAAGAAAGAAGAGGACAAAUCCCAAUCUGCUGAAAUAUGGGAAAAAUUGAAUUUUGGAAACAAGGACCAAAACGUGAAAUUUAGGAAAUUAAGGAGUAUUAAGAGUGAAGAUGAAGCUGGAUGUAGCUCAGUUGAUGAAGAGAACUAUAAGACUUUGAAACAACAGGAAGAAGUAUUCAGAAAUCUAGAUGCUCAGUAUGAAAUGGCAAGAUCACAAACCCAUACACAAAGAGGAACGCGUUUGGGUUUCACAUCUUCAAUGCGAGGAAUGGAUACAGUUUGAAAAAGUUCACACAUGUAAAGUUUGGGACUUUAUAGACUUCCUCCUCUGAUGUCAAGUCCUUGUUCACC